CAGUAGCCGCGGUAACACGUAGGUGGCAAGCGUUGUCCGGAAUUAUUGGGCGUAAAGCGCGCGCAGGUGGUUUAAUAAGUCUGAUGUGAAAGCCCACGGCUCAACCGUGGAGGGUCAUUGGAAACUGUUAAACUUGAGUGCAGGAGAGAAAAGUGGAAUUCCUAGUGUAGCGGUGAAAUGCGUAGAGAUUAGGAGGAACACCAGUGGCGAAGGCGGCUUUUUGGCCUGUAACUGACACUGAGGCGCGAAAGCGUGGGGAGCAAACAGGAUUAGAUACCCGCGUAGUCCCUGUCUCUUAUAC
rnacentral:rRNA from 1 species